rnacentral:rRNA from 1 species
GAUGAACGCUGGCGGUAUGCUUAACACAUGCAAGUCGAACGGUAACAGGCCUUCGGGCGCUGACGAGUGGCGGACGGGUGAGUAACGCGUAGGAAUCUGCCUCAUAGUGGGGGACAACGUGUGGAAACGCACGCUAAUACCGCAUACGCCCUACGGGGGAAAGCGGGGGACCUUCGGGCCUCGCGCUAUGAGAUGAGCCUGCGUUAGAUUAGCUAGUUGGUAGGGUAAAGGCCUACCAAGGCGACGAUCUAUAGCUGGUCUGAGAGGACGAUCAGCCACACUGGGACUGAGACACGGCCCAGACUCCGACGGGAGGCAGCAGUGGGGAAUAUUGGACAAUGGGCGCAAGCCUGAUCCAGCAAUACCGCGUGUGUGAAGAAGGCCUUAGGGUUGUAAAGCACUUUCAAUAGGGAGGAAAACCUGCCGGUCAAUACCCGGUAGCUUGACAUUACCUAUAGAAGAAGCACCGGCUAACUCCGUGCCAGCCGCCGCAGUAAUAC